rnacentral:rRNA from 1 species
UACGUAGGUGACAAGCGUUGUCCGGAUUUACUGGGCGUAAAGAGCGCGCAGGCGGUCGAUCAAGUCGAGUGUGAAAGCCCCGGCUCAACUGGGGAGGGUCAUUCGAUACUGAUCGACUCGAAGGCAGGAGAGGGUAGUGGAAUUCCCGGUGUAGUGGUGAAAUGCGUAGAUAUCGGGAGGAACACCAGUGGCGAAGGCGACUACCUGGCCUGUUCUUGACGCUGAGGCGCGAAAGCUAGGGGAGCAAACGGG